rnacentral:ribozyme from 1 species
AGCGCAAGUUCGCCGACCGCAACAAGUGUGCAAAGGCGCACCGGUACUUCAACCUCCUGCUCGAGUUUGCUCUUGCGCAGCCGGACCUCCUCCUGUCGGUGCCGCUCGACAAAGGCGUGU